AUUGAACGCUGGCGGCAGGCCUAACACAUGCAAGUCGAGCGGAUGAAGGGAGCUUGCUCCUGGAUUCAGCGGCGGACGGGUGAGUAAUGCCUAGGAAUCUGCCUGGUAGUGGGGGAUAACGUCCGGAAACGGGCGCUAAUACCGCAUACGUCCUGAGGGAGAAAGUGGGGGAUCUUCGGACCUCACGCUAUCAGAUGAUCCUAGGUCGGAUUAGCUAGUUGGUGGGGUAAAGGCCUACCAAGGCGACGAUCCGUAACUGGUCUGAGAGGAUGAUCAGUCACACUGGAACUGAGACACGGUCCAGACUCCUACGGGAGGCAGCAGUGGGGAAUAUUGGACAAAGGGCGAAAGCCUGAUCCAGCCAUGCCGCGUGUGUGAAGAAGGUCUUCGGAUUGUAAAGCACUUUAAGUUGGGAGGAAGGGCAGUAAGUUAAUACCUUGCUGUUUUGACGUUACCAACAGAAUAAGCACCGGCUAACUUCGUG
rnacentral:rRNA from 1 species